UUGCAACUAAUUAAGCCGACCAGGUCCCUUUCCCCUUGGGGCCCUGGUGUGCAAUGGUUGCAAACAGCAGCCUCCUUGGUAGUGUACGCAGCCUGUUACCUGUAUGGGUUGCUCUAAGGGACCUUGGAGACAAUU
ensembl:snoRNA SNORA70 Small nucleolar RNA SNORA70